rnacentral:lncRNA from 10 species
CUUAGGAAUAAAUGUUGCUGGUAGCUCAUCCUGUGACCUCCUGCAUGGCUAUCCUGAUGCACUGUCAAAUCCAAGAUGAACCAUACAGGAUGAUUGAGGAAGGUGGCAAGGACAGACCCAUUGUAAGCUACAGUAUACCAAGGAGAGGCUUACUACAGUGACUUGUAUCUAGCAAGCAUUCAAUGAGUGCUGCUGAAUCAUAUUUUGCAUGGAAAUUGUAGAAGACUGAAGAAAUCCUGGGAAUAAAGAUUCGCGUGUCAAAUGAACGAUGAGUUUUAAACUGAAGACAUAGUAAUAAAGUAUGCUCUUCCCAGGAGACUAGACUGAUUCCAAAUAUGCACUCAACAUUGGGAUUUCUAUUUUCUCCAAGGUAAGAGUGUUCCAGUUUAUUGAAUCCAUUCACAACGUGGGCAGGUUCCUGUCAUUCAAAUCAAGUUGGCCUUCAGUAAUGGAUUUAUGCAACAGGAACAUGCAAAGUAGAUUUUUAUUAACAAAUGUCCCUGUUCAAUCUCCAAGGGAAGUGGCAGAACUGCUUUCUCAUGAUAAAGAGGAUUAACUAAAUGAAGAACUGCAGUUAAUCUCUGAGUUUGCCCUGAU